rnacentral:rRNA from 1 species
AGAGUUUGAUCCUGGCUCAGGACGAACGCUGGCGGCGCGCCUAACACAUGCAAGUCGAACGAGCGAGAGAGAGCUUGCUUUCUCAAGCGAGUGGCGAACGGGUGAGUAACGCGUGAGGAACCUGCCUCAAAGAGGGGGACAACAGUUGGAAACGACUGCUAAUACCGCAUAAGCCCACGGUGCCGCAUGGCACAGAGGGAAAAGGAGCAAUCCGCUUUGAGAUGGCCUCGCGUCCGAUUAGCUAGUUGGUGAGGUAAUGGCCCACCAAGGCGACGAUCGGUAGCCGGACUGGGAGGUUGAACGGCCACAUUGGGACUGAGACACGGCCCAGACUCCUACGGGAGGCAGCAGUGGGGAAUAUUGCACAAUGGGGGAAACCCUGAUGCAGCGACGCCGCGUGGAGGAAGAAGGUCUUCGGAUUGUAAACUCCUGUUGUUGAGGAAGAUAAUGACGGUACUCAACAAGGAAGUGACGGCUAACUACGUGCCAGCAGCCGCGGUAAAACGUAGGUCACAAGCGUUGUCCGGAAUUACUGGGUGUAAAGGGAGCGCAGGCGGGAAGACAAGUUGGAAGUGAAAUCUAUGGGCUCAACCCAUAAACUGCUUUCAAAACUGUUUUUCUUGAGUAGUGCAGAGGUAGGCGGAAUUCCCGGUGUAGUGGUGGAAUGCGUAGAUAUCGGGAGGAACACCAGUGGCGAAGGCGGCCUACUGGGCACCAACUGACGCUGAGGCUCGAAAGUGUGGGUAGCAAACAGGAUUAGAUACCCUGGUAGUCCACACUGUAAACGAUGAUUACUAGGUGUUGGAGGAUUGACCCCUUCAGUGCCGCAGUUAACACAAUAAGUAAUCCACCUGGGGAGUACGACCGCAAGGUUGAAACUCAAAGGAAUUGACGGGGGCCCGCACAAGCAGUGGAGUAUGUGGUUUAAUUCGACGCAACGCGAAGAACCUUACCAAGUCUUGACAUCCGUUGACCGCUGUAGAAAUACAGUUUUCCUUCGGGACAGCGAGACAGGUGGUGCAUGGUUGUCGUCAGCUCGUGUCGUGAGAUGUUGGGUUAAGUCCCGCAACGAGCGCGACCCUUAUGGUCAGUUACUACGCAAGAGGACUCUGGCCAGACUGCCGUUGACAAAACGGAGGAAGGUGGGGAUGACGUCAAAUCAUCAUGCCCUUUAUGACUUGGGCUACACACGUACUACAAUGGCGUUAAACAAAGAGAAGCAAGACCGCGAGGUGGAGCAAAACUCAGAAACAACGUCCCAGUUCGGACUGCAGGCUGCAACUCGCCUGCACGAAGUCGGAAUUGCUAGUAAUCGUGGACCAGCAUGCCACGGUGAAUACGUUCCCGGGCCUUGUACACACCGCCCGUCACACCAUGAGAGCCGGGGGGACCCGAAGUC